AGUGAACGCUGGCGGUAGGCCUAACAAAUGCAAGUCGAACGGCAGCACAGUAAGAGCUUGCUCUUACGGGUGGCGAGUGGCGGACGGGUGAGGAAUACAUCGGAAUCUACUUUUUCGUGGGGGAUAACGUAGGGAAACUUACGCUAAUACCGCAUAUGACCUACGGGUGAAAGCAGGGGAUCUUCGGACCUUGCGCGAUUGAAUGAGCCGAUGUCGGAUUAGCUAGUUGGCGGGGUAAAGGCCCACCAAGGCGACGAUCCGUAGCUGGUCUGAGAGGAUGAUCAGCCACACUGGAACUGAGACACGGUCCAGACUCCUACGGGAGGCAGCAGUGGGGAAUAUUGGACAAUGGGCGCAAGCCUGAUCCAGCCAUACCGCGUGGGUGAAGAAGGCCUUCGGGUUGUAAAGCCCUUUUGUUGGGAAAGAAAAGCAGCAGGUUAAUACCCCGCUGUUCUGACGGUACCCAAAGAAUAAGCACCGGCUAACUUCGUG
rnacentral:rRNA from 1 species